CUACAAUAGUGAAGGAUGCUAGACUUAAUAUUCAAUUGAGCAGAUUUAAUUUAGAUCUCAUCUACUUAGUCAUAUACAUUAAAUGUAAUGACUAAACUAGUUUAGGUCAACCCAUCUCAUGUCUAACCCACCUAGCUGGCAUGGGUGAACACAAAUCACUAAUCAACCAGACUCAAUCCAUAAUCUACCAAAUGGCUAGGUAAGUG
rnacentral:lncRNA from 1 species